GAUGAACUCUAGCUACAGGCUUAACACAUGCUAGUCGAGGGGCAGCAUUUUAGUUUGCUUGCAAACUGAAGAUGGCGACCGGCGCACGGGUGAGUAACACGUAUCCAACCUGCCGAUAACUCCGGGAUAGCCUUUCGAAAGAAAGAUUAAUACCGGGUAGCAUACGAAUAUCGCAUGAUAUUUUUAUUAAAGAAUUUCGGUUAUCGAUGGGGAUGCGUUCCAUUAGUUUGUUGGCGGGGUAACGGCCCACCAAGACAACGAUGGAUAGGGGUUCUGAGAGGAAGGUCCCCCACAUUGGAACUGAGACACGGUCCAAACUCCUACGGGAGGCAGCAGUGAGGAAUAUUGGUCAAUGGGCGAGAGCCUGAACCAGCCAAGUAGCGUGAAGGAUGAAGGCUCUAUGGGUCGUAAACUUCUUUUAUAUGGGAAUAAAGUAUUCCACGUGUGGAAUUUUGUAUGUACCAUAUGAAUAAGGAUCGGCUAACUCCGUGCCAGCAGCCGCGGUAAUACGGAGGAUCCGAGCGUUAUCCGGAUUUAUUGGGUUUAAAGGGAGCGUAGGUGGAUUGUUAAGUCAGUUGUGAAAGUUUGCGGCUCAACCGUAAAAUUGCAGUUGAAACUGGCAGUCUUGAGUACAGUAGAGGUGGGCGGAAUUCGUGGUGUAGCGGUGAAAUGCUUAGAUAUCACGAAGAACUCCGAUUGCGAAGGCAGCUCACUAGACUGUCACUGACACUGAUGCUCGAAAGUGUGGGUAUCAAACAGGAUUAGAUACCCUGGUAGUCCACACAGUAAACGAUGAAUACUCGCUGUUUGCGAUAUACAGUAAGCGGCCAAGCGAAAGCAUUAAGUAUUCCACCUGGGGAGUACGCCGGCAACGGUGAAACUCAAAGGAAUUGACGGGGGCCCGCACAAGCGGAGGAACAUGUGGUUUAAUUCGAUGAUACGCGAGGAACCUUACCCGGGCUUAAAUUGCAACAGAAUAUAUUGGAAACAGUAUAGCCGUAAGGCUGUUGUGAAGGUGCUGCAUGGUUGUCGUCAGCUCGUGCCGUGAGGUGUCGGCUUAAGUGCCAUAACGAGCGCAACCCUUAUCUUUAGUUACUAACAGGUCAUGCUGAGGACUCUAGAGAGACUGCCGUCGUAAGAUGUGAGGAAGGUGGGGAUGACGUCAAAUCAGCACGGCCCUUACGUCCGGGGCUACACACGUGUUACAAUGGGGGGUACAGAAGGCGGCUACCUGGUGACAGGAUGCUAAUCCCAAAAACCUCUCUCAGUUCGGAUCGAAGUCUGCAACCCGACUUCGUGAAGCUGGAUUCGCUAGUAAUCGCGCAUCAGCCAUGGCGCGGUGAAUACGUUCCCGGGCCU
rnacentral:rRNA from 1 species